CUAACAUCAGACGUACAUACGUUUGAUUGUGGAAAUCGCAUAUGUGGAAUAAGUAUGUAUAGAAAAAUGGCGUCAGUUAAUAGAAAUUGUGAAUUUGUGUAUGUGUUUGAUUCAAGCAUGUAUAGGUUUGAAUUUUUGAAUCAACACAAAUGUAUAAACUAUGUUUCAAAAUUAUUUAAAAAAAAAAUCAUUUUUAGGCCGCAUUUAAAACGAAAAAAAAUGGCCGAUACCAUUCUAAUCUAAUAGUCGCAGUAAGCUCAUUAUUUGUAUAUCUUACCUAUGCCCUAUCUGCUAUUUUAAUAUCGAUUAAUUCUUGUCUUAGUAUAUCUAUAUUACUGCUAGUAUGAGAAUUUUUCAAUCUUACUAUAGUAUAUACAUAUUGCAGCUGGCCCAGCGAGAUUUGAAUUAUAUAUUGUAUUUUGUUGUUGUUAACCUGUGUGAGAGAAUGUUUUUUUUUAUUAACCAGAGGGAAUCAGACAAUAUAUUGAACUAACUGGUCAACUGAGCUGACAGUACAGUGCCGCCAGAAAAUUUGGAAACACUUGAAAAAUUAUUUUUUUUUUCAAUAUCUGUUCAAAAUUUAGUUCAAACAGUACAUGUUAUUAAUGGUAUGAAACAUUGAGGUCGGUUAAUAAUUGGCCAUUUUAAAAUGGCGGCCAAAAUUUUCAAACAGCCAUAACUUGCCCAAUUAUCAACUGAUCUUGUUUUUUCAUACCAUUUAUAACAUGUAAUUUUUAAGAGUUUCAAAACUGUAUCAUUACAUUUUGAAACCAACAGCCCAGUAAAAAGUAGAAUUCUUUUUUAGGCCGCAUUUAAAACGAAAAAUUGAAAAAAAAGGCCGAUGCCGUUCUUAUCUCGUGGUCUCAGUCUUAUUAUGUGUAUAUCUUACCUAAAUGCCUACUGCUAACUUAAUUAAUAUGGUAGAAUUCUCUUGUUGGUAUAUCUAAAUUAAUCCUAACAUCAGAAUUUUUCUGUAUUAGUCUAGUAUACAUAUUGCAGCUGGGCCUGGCGGGUUGAAUAUAUUACAUGGUGUUUUGUUGCUAACCUGUGAGAAAUAAUUUUUUUUAUUAACCAGAGGGAAUCGAACUCAGAACCACGAGAUAAGACGGUGAGCGUUGUACCACAGGGCUACAUCGGCCGGUGAAUGUUUAUGAGCUAUUUGUAUUUAUGAAUUAUUGACCUUGAAAUUCAACAAAUUCAUAGAAAUACAUGAUUUCUAUCGCUUUUUCCCUGCUGAAAUACAUUUUUUAUUGAAGAAAAUACCUUUUUUCAUUUGGCAUUCGACUAUUUGUUUACAUUGAAUAGAAAAAAAGUAAAAAAAAUCGAAAGAAUAGUCAACAAUAGUCUUUUGCAUAACAAAAAUUGUCAGUGUAGACAGACAAUGCAUUAAGCUAGGGGAAUUUAUCUGUUCGCGAAUAUAUAUUAUUCGAUGGUACAUAUACUAUGCAUAUUUUACGAAUAAUGCAUUGAAUGUACGUAUUUUGCGAAUAUUCGCAGUGAAUAUACGCAAAAUAUACGCAAUAUUCACAGUGUUUUGAUUGAGAUAAAAACCCCUAGGCAUUAAGUGUGUAUGAGCGUGAGAAAAAAUAUGUCACAAUAUGGUGUACUCGUUCUGUAUCAUCAACAGCAUUGAUGUACAUUGUAAAUUAUCACGCGCUGCAUACACAAUGUUGGCUGUAUAGCAUAUAGGAAUGUCACACGCACACAAAUGUCUACCAACAGUUGUCUAUCAUAGUGUGCGCACCAGCUGUCUAUCAACUACCAUGUGAUCAACGCUAUACCGUAGAGUGAGUGAGAAGAGUAUAAUGUUGUUAUGUUGUCACAUUCAUGCUUACAUUGUUUAUAGAACGAUUCGUCUCGAAAUAUUAAAAGAAAAUUAAAUAAAUUACGAUUCCAACUGCAA